rnacentral:rRNA from 1 species
AUUGAACGCUGGCGGCAGGCCUAACACAUGCAAGUCGAACGAGCGGCGGACGGGUGAGUAAUGUCUGGGAAACUGCCUGAUGGAGGGGGAUAACUACUGGAAACGGUAGCUAAUACCGCAUACCAUCAGAUGUGCCCAGAUGGGAGUAGCUAGUGGGUGGGGUAACGGCUCACCUAGGCGACGAUCCCUAGCUGGUCUGAGAGGAUGACCAGCCACACUGGAACUGAGACACGGGCCAGACGCCUACGGGAGGCAGCAGGGGGGAAUAGUGCACAAUGGGCGCAAGCCUGAUGCAGCCAUGCCGCGUGGAUGAAGAAGGCCUUCGGGUUGUAAAGAACUUUCAGCGGGGAGGCGUUACACGCAGAAGAAGCACCGGCUAACUCCGUGCCAGCAGCCGCGGUAAUAC